rnacentral:rRNA from 1 species
CCUACGGGUGGCAGCAGUGGGGAAUAUUGCACAAUGGGGGAAACCCUGAUGCAGCGACGCCGCGUGGGUGAAGAAGGAUUUCGGUUUGUAAACUUCUUUCAGCAGGGAAGAAAAUGACGGUAUCUCAUGAAUAAGCACCGGCUAACUCCGUGCCAGCAGCCGCGGUAAUACGGAGGGGGCAAGCGUUAUCCGGAAUUACUGGGGGUAAAGGGUGCGUAGGCGGGAGUGUAAGUCAGGAGUGAAAUCCCGGGGCUUAACCCCAGAACUGCUUUUGAAACUAUGCAGCUAGAGUGUAGGAGAGGUAGGUGGAAUUCCUGGUGUAGGGGUGAAAUGCGUAGAUAUCAAGAGGAACACUCAUGGCGAAGGCGACCUACUGGAAUAUAACUGACGCUGAGGCUCGAAAGCGUGGGGAGCAAACAGGAUUAGAUACCCGAGUAGUC